AUGCAGCUCAAGCUGCUGCACGAAUACAAGCUGCCUUCAGGGCACAUUCUUUCAGGAAGCGACAACAGAGAGAAGCUGCUGUGUCUACUAAUAAUGUAGAUGACUAUGGUGUCAAUUCCGGUGAUAUUCCAGGGCUUUCAGCUAUGUCAAAGCUGUUCUUUCACAAUGCACGUGAUUACAAUUCAGCUGCUUUAUCCAUUCAGAAGAAAUAUAGAGGGUGGAAAGG
rnacentral:misc_RNA from 1 species